rnacentral:lncRNA from 10 species
GGAGUCUCGCUCUGUUGCCCAGGCUGGAGUGCAGUGGUGCGAUCUCAGCUGAUUGCAAGCUCCGCCUCCCUGGUUCAAGCAAUUCUCCUGCCUCAGCCUCCCGAGUAGUUGGGACUACAGGCACCCGCCACCAUGCCUGGCUAAUUUUUUGUAUUUUUAGUAGAGUCGGGGUUUCACCGUGUUAGCCAGGAUUGUCUCGAUCUCCUGACCUCGUGAUCCACCCGCCUCAGCCUCCAAAAGUGCUGGGAUUACAGGCGUCAGGAGUUCGAGACCAGCCUGACCAACAUGGUGAAACCCCCGUCUCUACUAAAAUAAAAAAUUAGCCGGGCAGGGUGGCGGGCGCCUGUAGUCUCAGCUACUUGGUAGUCUGAGACAGGAUAAUCACUGAACCCGGGAGGCGGAGGUUGCAGUGAGCCGAGAUCGUGCCACUGCACUCCAGCCUGGGGGACGAGAGUGAAACUCCAUCUC